rnacentral:rRNA from 1 species
GACAUAGGUCGCGAACGUUAUCCGGAAUUAUUGGGCGUAAAGGAUGCGUAGAUGGUUCAGUAAGUUACUGGUGGGAAAUCGAGGCCUAACCUCGUGGAAGUUAGUAAUACUGUUGAACUUGAGUGCAGGAGAGGUUAACGGAACUUCAUGUGGAGCGGUAAAAUGCGUAGAUAUAUGAAAGAACAUCAAUAUAGCGAAGGCAGUUAACUAUUCUGCUACUGACAUUGAGGCAUGAAAGCGUGGGGAGCAAAACGG